UACGUAGGUGGCAAGCGUUAUCCGGAAUUAUUGGGCGUAAAGCGCGCGCAGGUGGUUUCUUAAGUCUGAUGUGAAAGCCCACGGCUCAACCGUGGAGGGUCAUUGGAAACUGGGAGACUUGAGUGCAGAAGAGGAAAGUGGAAUUCCAUGUGUAGCGGUGAAAUGCGUAGAGAUAUGGAGGAACACCAGUGGCGAAGGCGACUUUCUGGUCUGUAACUGCACUGAGGCGCGAAAGCGUGGGGAGCAAACAGG
rnacentral:rRNA from 1 species